ACUCCGGUUGAUCCUGCCGGACCCGACUGCUAUCGGAGUGGGGCUAAGCCAUGCGAGUCGUACGCUUCUUGACUGCAAGAGGCGUGGCGAACGGCUCAGUAACACGUAGCUAACUUAACCUAGAGACGUGGAUAACCCCGGGAAACUGGGGAUAAUACCCCAUAGAUCAGGGACGCUGGAAUGCCUCCUGAUCGAAAGGUCCGCCGCCUGAGGAUGGGUCUGCGGCCGAUUAGGUGGUUGUUGGGGUAACGGCCCAACAAGCCUUUGAUCGGUACGGGUUGUGAGAGCAAGAGCCCGGAGAUGGAUUCUGAGACACAAAUCCAGGCCCUACGGGGCGCAGCAGGCGCGAAAACUUUACAAUGCGAGAAAUCGUGAUAAGGGAACCCCGAGUGCCCGUAAAUUCGGGCUGUCCAUCAGUGUA
rnacentral:rRNA from 1 species